rnacentral:lncRNA from 1 species
AGAUAACCCGUUUUUUUAGUGAACAAUGGUAAUCUUACAUAUGUUUAAUGUAGUUUUUCCAUUUUUUAUGUUGUAUGUUUACAUAUUAUUGUUAUUUUUAAAUGUAAAAUGGUAAUUUUGCAUAUAUUUAAUGUAGUAUUUCUAUUUUUUAUGUUGUAUGUUUACAUAUUAUUUUCUUAAAAUAAAAAUGUAAAAUGGUAAUCUUACAUAUGUUUAAUGUAGUAUUUCUAUUUUUAUGUUGUAUGUUUUACAUAUAUUUAUUAUUUUCGAAAUUAUAUAUAAUGUUUUUUGUUUUUUUAUAAAACGGUAAUGUUACAUUACGGAGAUAAACCGUCUUUUUUUUUAAGUUAAAAAUAGUAAUCUUACAUAUGUUUAAUGUAGUUUUUCCAUUUUUUAUGCUGUAUGUUUACAUAUUUUUUUUUAUAAUUUUCGAAAAUAAUAAAAUUAAAAUGUAAAACUAUAUUUUAUGCCACGUGUCAUCUUUCGAGAUUAUAUUAUAUAUUUACUUAUUAUUUAUUUUUCUUUAUAUUGUGUAUUUCUAUUUCUUAUACUUUCUAUUUACUAAUAAUUUUAUAUUUUAACAUUGAUUUACAUUUUAAGAUAGAUGUUUAAAUACUAAUGUACUUUUUCCAUUUUUUUAAAUUGUGUAUUUCCUUUUCUUAUACUUUCUAUUUGCGUAAUAUCUAUAUUUUACAUUUUAAAAUAGAUGUUUAAAUCUUAAUAUACUUUUCCAUUGUUUUUAAGUUGUGUAUUUCUUUUUCUUAUAUUUUCUAUUUAAUUAAUAUCUAUAUUUUACAUUUUAAGAUAGAUGUUUAAUAUUUAAUGUACUCUUUCCAUUUUUUUAAAUUGUGAAUUUACUUAUUAUUGUAUAUAUAAUUCUUAUAUUUAUAUAUUUAGAAUAUUUACUUUUUUUUAUAUUGAGUAUUUCUAUUUCUUAUACUUUAUAUUUAGUCAAUGUCUAUAUUUUAUAUUUUAAGAUAGAUGUUUAAAUUUUUACGUAUUUUUCCAUUUUUAAUGUAAAACGGCAAUGUUUAAUAGAAGAACUUGGACAAAUAGUCAAAUAGUUAUAUUUAUGUUUUUUUUUCUUUUUUUAUAAAAUGGUAAUGUUACAUUAUGAAGAUAAACCGUUUUUUUCGUGAACAAUGGUAAUCUUACAUAUGUUUAAUAUAGUUUUCCAUUUUUUUUUAUAUUGUAUGUUUACAUAAUAUUUUUAUUUUUAAAUGUAAAAUGGUAAUUUUACAUAUGUUUAAUGUAGUAUUUUCAUUUUUAUGUUGUAUGUUUACAUAUUAUUUAUUAUUUUCGAAAUUAUAUAUAAUUUGUUUUUUACAAAAUAGUAAUGUUACAUUAUGAAGAUAAGCCGUCUUUUUUUUUAGUGAAAAAUUGUAAUUACAUAUGUUUAAUGUAGUUUUUCCAUUUUUUAUGUUGUAUGUUUACAUAUUAUUUUCUUAAAAUAAACAUGUAAAAUGUUAAUCUUACAUAUGUUUAAUGUAGUAUUUCUAUUUUUAUGUUGUAUGUUUUACAUAUAUUUAUUAUUUUUGAAAUUAUAUAUAAUAUUUUUUGUUUUUUUUUAUAAAACGGUAAUGUUACAUUAUGGAGAUAGACCGUCUUUUUUUUUGAAGUGAAAAAUAGUAAUCUUACAUAUGUUUAAUGUAGUUUUUCCAUUUUUUUAUGCUGUAGGUUUACAUAUUUUUUAUAAUUUUCGAAAAUAAGUAAUAGUAAAAUGUAAAACUAUAUUUUAUGCCACGUGUCAUCUUUCGGGAUUAUAUUAUAUAUUUACUUAUUAUUUAUUUUUAUUUAUAUUGUGUAUUUCUAUUUCUUAUACUUUUUAUUUACUAAUAAUUUUAUAUUUUAAGAUUGAUUUACAUUUUAAGAUAGAUGUUUAAAUACCAAUGUACUUUUUCAUUUUUUUAAACUGUGUAUUUCCUUUUCUUAUACUUUCUAUUUGCAUAAUAUAUAUAUUUUACAUUUUAAGAUAGAUGUUAAAAUCUUAAUAUACUUUUUCCAUUGUUUUUAAGUUGUGUAUUUCUUUUUCUUAUACGUUCUAUUUACUUAAUAUCUAUAUUUUACAUUUUAAGAUAGAUGUUUAAUAUUUAAUGUAAUCUUUCCAUUUUUUUUAAAUUGUGCAUUUACUUAUUAUUGUAUAUAUAAUUCGUAUAUUUAUAAUAUUUACUUAUUAUUUAUUUUUUUAUAUAUUGAGAGUAUUUUUCUUUCUUAUACUUUACAUUUAGUUAAUGUCUAUAUUUUAUAUUUUAAGAUAGAUGUUUAAAUAUCUACGUAUUUUUCCAUUUUUAAUGUAAAACGGCAAUGUUUAAUAGAAGAACUUGGACAAAUAGUCAAAUAGUUAUAUUUAUGUUUUUUUUUUCUUUUUUUUAUAAAGUGGUAACGUUACAUUAUGAAGAUAAACCGUUUUUAGUGAACAAUGGUAAUCUUACAUAUGUUUAAUGUAAAUUUUCCAUUUUUUUAUGUUGUAUGUUUACAUAUUAUUGUUAUUUUUAAAUGUAAAAUGGUAAUCUUACGUAUGUUUAAUGUAGUAUUUCCAUUUUUAUGUUGUAUGUUUUACAUAUAUUUAUUAUUUUCGAAAUUAUAUAUAAUGUUUUUUUGUUUUUUUAUAAAACGGUAAUGUUACAUUAUGGAGAUAAGCCGUCUUUUUUUUUAAGUGAAAAAUAGUAAUCUUACAUGUGUUUUAUGUAGUUUUUCCAUUUUUUAUGCUGUAUGUUUACAUAUUUCUUACAAUUUUCGAAAAUAAGUAAUAUUAAAAUGUAAAACUAUAUUUUAUGCCACGUGUCAUCUUUCGGGAGAAAUUUUUUCCGCUUAUGUGGACGCCCUAUGGAGCCUCAAAAGUUCUCUUUUAUUAGUAGAGAUUGUAUGUUUUACAUAUAUUUAUUAUUUUCGAAAUUAUAUAUAAUGUUUUUUUGUUUUUUUUAUAAAACGGUAAUGUUACAUUAUGGAGAUAAGCCGUCUUUUUUUUAAAGUGAAAAAUAGUAAUCUUACAUGUGUUUUAUGUAGUUUUUCCAUUUUUUAUGCUGUAUGUUUACAUAUUUCUUACAAUUUUCGAAAAUAAGUAAUAUUAAAAUGUAAAACUAUAUUUUAUGCCACGUGUCAUCUUUCGGGAGAAAUUUUUUCCGCUUAUGUGGACGCCCUAUGGAGCCUCAAAAGUUCCCUUUUAUUAGUAGAGAUUUAUGUUUUUUUUUCUUUUUUUUAUAAAGUGGUAACGUUACAUUAUGAAGAUAAACCGUUUUUUAGUGAACAAUGGUAAUCGUACAUAUGUUUAAUGUAAAUUUUCCAUUUUUUUAUGUUGUAUGUUUACAUAUUAUUGUUAUUUUUAAAUGUAAAAUGGUAAUCUUACAUAUGUUUAAUGUAGUAUUUCCAUUUUUAUGUUGUAUGUUUUACAUAUAUUUAUUAUUUUCGAAAUUAUAUAUAAUGUUUUUUUGUUUUUUUUAUAAAACGGUAAUGUUACAUUAUGGAGAUAAGCCGUCUUUUUUUUUAAGUUAAAAAUAGUAAUCUUACAUGUGUUUUAUGUAGUUUUUCCAUUUUUUAUGCUGUAUGUUUACAUAUUUCUUACAAUUUUCGAAAAUAAGUAAUAUUAAAAUGUAAAACUAUAUUUUAUGCCACGUGUCAUCUUUCGGGAGAAAUUUUUUCCGCUUAUGUGGACGCCCUAUGGAGCCUCAAAAGCUCCCUUUUAUUAGUAGAGAUUUAUAGUAUUAGAAUAUUUGAAAAUUAAAUAACAGUGGAUAUUUUUUUUUCCUUUCUGUAACCACAAUCCACCUAUCAACGUU